rnacentral:misc_RNA from 1 species
GUAUUGUAUUGCGUUAAACGCGGUGCGCAUUCCAUAAGACUUUGUUACAGCGUGUGUGUAAAGAUGCAGAACCACAGAAGGGAGGCAGAGCCCCCCAGACCGUAGAACUACAGAGGGUGCACAGGUGUGAGUGGAUGUGUAAACAGAGCGUGCACAUGCCCCCAUACAGGGGCCAGCAACAACCCUUGUUGACAAUUCGGUAAUGAUCCUUCCGCAGGUUCACCUACGGAAA